ensembl:lncRNA
CUAAAAGUACACUGGAAGGAACACCUCCCUGGUCACUGUUUCCAUUUCCCUGUGCUGCAUGAGAUCAGUGCAAGCCCAGCACUACAGCCCCAGGUGCCAACACGUCCCCAUGACAGACGGAACUCACCCUGCAGCACCAGCCCAGAGGCAGCAUCACUUCCAGGGCAGAGGGAGAUGGGCAGUGAGCACAAGAGCACCUUGUUCCCAUGGAUCCCAACGCACUUCAGAAGAGCAACCACAAGCUGGAACAGAGGGAGAACAGAAUCUCGCUCUCCCAACUUCAGAUGUGCAAUUAAACACCGAAUCACAUCUUCACAGUUACUGAAGCUGCUUUAAAAACUGCCAGCGACCACCAUCUGGAGAAGCCAAAAGAGAAUAAGCACAGCAUCCUCCAGGGGAAGGAAAAGAGCCCCAGCGGCCAAUCUGAGCGUGGAACAGUCCUUCCCAAAUUUGGAGAUGCUGCCUUAGUGCUGAGCAGGCACCGGAGAGGUGCGACCGUCUCCACCCAACUUCCCCAUCUCAGGUUGUGCCAAUCUGCAGCUCAUGAAAAGGAGGUGGAAAAGAAAACAAAAACUGAAAGCCAAUGACACAGAAACCAAGUUAAUCAUCAAAAGGGGGGGGGGGGGGAGGAGAAUCCUUCCUGACCUCUGCAGGCAACCAGCAGAAGCCUUGAAACGCGGGCCUAAUUAAUUAAUUAAAAACAAUAUGAGCAUGGUGCAACAAGCCUUGUAAGCACAUUGAAGGCAGAGUAUCACCCAUGCGCUGUUAUGCAACGUGUUGAUGACUGCAGCCAGCUCCUCGUGGAGCCACUUUGGAACCCGGUGCCCGGGACUCUGUCUCAGAGGCCACCCCUGAGCUCUGCUCUGUGAUGUCCGGAGAUCAUCUUCUAAUUUCAAACCUGUGUUUUUUAAUGUACAAAUUCACCCCAUUUGAUCUGACUCCGUCCUUUAAUUCAAAUAGGUUUCUGUGUUCAGCCGGUAUUCCCUUUCCUGUCCUCUGUAUGAGUUUGCUGCUGCGUAGUCAUCUUCCCUUCAGCCUUUUUGGAGACGAGGACUCAGCACAACCACUAGAAAGGGGUCCUCCCCCCGGCACCGCACAUCCUCCAUGUCCUCACCCCGCAGCCUCCUGCUCUGCUG